UACAGAGGGUGCAAGCGUUAAUCGGAGUUACUGGGCGUAAAGGGCGCGUAGGCGGUGAUAUAGGUGUGAUGUGAAAGCCCUGGGCUUAACCUAGGAAGCGCAUCGCAAACGAUAUGACUAGAGUACAAGAGAGGGUGGCGGAAUUUCCGGUGUAGCGGUGAAAUGCGUAGAGAUCGGAAGGAACGUCGAUGGCGAAGGCAGCCACCUGGCUUGAUACUGACGCUGAGGCGCGAGAGCGUGGGGAGCGAACAGG
rnacentral:rRNA from 1 species